GCGCGUUGAUAAGUAGUAAUGAUAAGUAGUCAAUAUUAAAAAAAAAUUAAUUUACUACGAAUAUUUAUGUACUAUUAUAGAGCUCCAGACUUACCUUAUCAUCAGAGCCCCAAGAUCUUAGUUGUGCCACUGGAAGUAUGUCCGGCUUUUUUGCAAUUCAUACAAAUUAUUUAAUACAAAUAUUUGUCCUUUAACAAUUUGUUGACUGCGCCUGCUCGUUCUCCAGGAGAUAUCACUUACUU